GCUCGGGUAGCUUAGUCUGGUUAGAGCGCCACGCUGAUAACGUGGAGGUCGUGAGUUCAAAUCUCAUCUCGAGCA
rnacentral:tRNA from 1 species